rnacentral:rRNA from 1 species
CUACCUGCAGUCGAGCGGAUGAAGGGAGCUUGCUCCUGGAUUCAGCGGCGGACGGGUGAGUAAUGCCUAGGAAUCUGCCUGGUAGUGGGGGAUAACGUCCGGAAACGGGCGCUAAUACCGCAUACGUCCUGAGGGAGAAAGUGGGGGAUCUUCGGACCUCACGCUAUCAGAUGAGCCUAGGUCGGAUUAGCUAGUUGGUGGGGUAAAGGCCUACCAAGGCGACGAUCCGUAACUGGUCUGAGAGGAUGAUCAGUCACACUGGAACUGAGACACGGUCCAGACUCCUACGGGAGGCAGCAGUGGGGAAUAUUGGACAAUGGGCGAAAGCCUGAUCCAGCCAUGCCGCGUGUGUGAAGAAGGUCUUCGGAUUGUAAAGCACUUUAAGUUGGGAGGAAGGGCAGUAAGUUAAUACCUUGCUGUUUUGACGUUACCAACAGAAUAAGCACCGGCUAACUUCGUGCCAGCAGCCGCGGUAAUACGAAGGGUGCAAGCGUUAAUCGGAAUUACUGGGCGUAAAGCGCGCGUAGGUGGUUCAGCAAGUUGGAUGUGAAAUCCCCGGGCUCAACCUGGGAACUGCAUCCAAAACUACUGAGCUAGAGUACGGUAGAGGGUGGUGGAAUUUCCUGUGUAGCGGUGAAAUGCGUAGAUAUAGGAAGGAACACCAGUGGCGAAGGCGACCACCUGGACUGAUACUGACACUGAGGUGCGAAAGCGUGGAGGAGCAAACAGGAUUAGAUACCCUGGCUAGUCCACGCCGUAUACGAUG